AUUUUUUUGGUUUCUAGAUUUUUCUAUUUUCUCUCUCUCGCCUACGUGCGAUUCUUCUUCAUCUCCUUCUCUAUUUUUUUGGUUAAAAAUCUCAUAUUAAUCCUUAGUUUUAGUUUUAACCUUUGUAGAUGGCCUUGCUACAGUAAUUUGAGGCCUUGUUUUAGUCUCUUUGGUUUUUUCAAUUGUGAAAUGGAGUGUUUAAGGUUAAGUGGUUGAAGGAUUGGUUAUGGUUUUGGAGAUCCAUGUGAUUGAUGAACAAAACCUAUGUUUUUUGAGUGGUUGAUUUACACUAUACUCUCUUGGAAGGUUAUUUUUCACUAGAGGAACGGGUUCAAUUCCUGAGCCCCCUAGAUUAGACAAUUUUCGGCUGAACUGGGUCAACAAUCUUGUGUUUUUUACGUUUUAUAGUUUUUUUUUUUAUUUCUUGGGCAUUUUGGUGUUUAUUAAUAAGUGUUUUCAUCAAGAAAAACCCAACACUUUUCUUAUUCUACAAGUAGAAUAUUUGAUUGUCUCUGAUGAAUGAUUUGCUACCAUUCUCUAUGUUUAGGAGUGGUGUGUUUCACCUUUUACGGCUUUAUUGUGCCAUGGUACUCCAGUGUCCAACCUAUUAUUUCUAAAAAUAGUUAUGUUGGAUGAUGUUGUUCUCUUUGAUACCUUAUUCAUCUGUUUGUCCUUCAUAUUAAGGGAGUAUCUGUGGAGUGGGUUAUGAUCUUGCCAAUUAUUACAGAACUAAGGGGUUCCACCUCUGAGUAUUCUUUCAUUUGCAAAUACAUUGUUCUAAUGAAAAAUGAAGAUUGUUCUAAUGAAAAAUGAAGAUACAUGUCCAAUUACUGUCGACUUUGCUUCCUGAACAUAUCUUAUUUUUGACCGAUUUCCUCUUCCAUUCUCUUUGGAUCUUAGCUUACAAAUUUGGGAUAUUGAUUGUUUUCCGGUUGUUAUGACUAUAGUUUGGGAAGAAAAUUCAUCCUAAGUGUGUUGUUUCUCACCUGACGAAUAAUUUCUUGUUUCUUGCUUAGUCGAUGAAUUUAUUGAGGUUUGAUUAUUACAAAUUCCUUCAUUAGUACAAAUUGAGGUUUUUUAUUACAAAAUCCAUAAAUCGUUAGAAAUUUCUAGCUACUCCUUGGUUGCUCAUUUUAGAUCAUGCUAGGUAUGGGAUCACAUAAGUGGAAACCUUAAGAAGGAUCUUCAAUAUCAGGCUCAUGUAAGUUGUGUGUUCUUCUAAUUUUCAUUCUCUUUCCCCGUCUUAGUUAUUUUAAUUUGUUAAACCUAUUCUAUUGUGCUUGCAUGAUAUAACUCUGGAUCUGUGAGGCUUAAAUUACUUAAUAAUAUGGUGUUAUAAUGCAACAAAUUGGAUAAAAAAUAGUUUAUUAAGGAAGUGAUUUUCGAUGUUUUAUCAUCAUUGUAUCAAGAGAAUUGCCAUUCACAGUUAACUAAAUAUAAGUUGGCACUAAAUGGUUGACAUGUAGGGCUUGAAACAAACUGCAAUAUGUUGAAUUCUUAGUUCUAAUGGAUCUUUUUCUUACCUCUCCUUUUUCUUAUUUGUUCAUUACCCCUUUAGAGGGGCUAAGUUAUUUAUUUUUCUUUAAUCAUAUAAAUGGAUGAGAUAAUAGAUACACAUCUUCUUGUCUGUUGCAUUUGUUGUUUUCCAGAUUGGCAAAUUAAUUAUUACUAACAUGUCCACAUGGUUCAUGACUUACAGCAUUAACUAUUUUCAAUUUAAUUCUCAACUCAUAAAAUGUUAGUCUUUUUUGGUCGAUGGUCAUUGUAUUAUGAAUACUUAGUGUCAUUGUUUUGUUCUUCAUGAGUUUACAGUUAAAUGUAUUAUGUUUUUGUAAUGAUUGAAUCAUUUUAUGGUUAGGAAUAUUGGAUACAAUUUCGUGAAAUCACAAUUGUGACUUUCUUGUUUGUGAUGCAGGAAGUUCUGAAUCAACUGAGGUCGAGAUGUCAGAUUGCAUGUUGAGAUACCAUGAGAUGGCGGAUUGGCGCAAAGAUGGAAAGUGAUUGCAACACUUUCCUUAAUUGGGGCAAUUUCGAAACGUUUUUGGUAAUUUGGUCAUAACUUUGGCUACGGUUAUCAGAAUAGCUAUUAUAAUCCCAAUUCGAAAAGCUCUUUUCAGUACACACGUUGUUGUCAAGCCAUACUCAAUGGGCAUUAAUUUCGAGGCCAAAAUUUGUUGUUCUCCCGUUCAAAUUUCAAUUUUUAGUUAUUUUUUUCAUUUAUUAUAAUAUUUCGUUUGAUUUUUUCUAGUUGAUUUCAAAUCUGAUUUGAGCCAAAUUUUUGGCAAGUUCCUUCUUUUAUUCCAUAUUUUAUUUUGGUGUGGUUUUCGGGAUUUUGCCAUUUUUGGUAAAAUUUCCAUAAUUUCAUAUUUUUUAGCUAUUUAACCCGACUUGUGAUUAAUUUUCGUAUUCUGCAUUUUAAUAAAGUUAAGUUGAAUUUCAGAAAAUUCUCUCUAUUUCUUGGGCUUUUUCCAUCGUAUUCUUCCUGUGAAUUAUCUAUUGCAACUAGCCUGCAGGAUAAUCACUAUCUCACCCGACGUCAGUUUGUAACAUGGCAGGUAAACUUUUAUGAUGCACAAUGAUGUUGUCUUCUCAGUUGAUUUUAGUAGAGACUCUGAGAUGCUUGCAUCUGGAUCACAAGAUGGAAAAAUAAAGGUUAAGCUUGCUUUCAUUUUCUGCUUUAAUGUGAUUAUUCUCAUGUUGCUUUGUCUUCUAAUUUCCCUAACAUCUAAAAAGAGUUAAAAAAAAGAAGCAUCUAGACUUAUUCAACACAAAAUAACUUAAAGAAGUUAGAGAAUAUUACUUUAUGGUGAGAUAUUAUCCUCCAAAGAAUAUUUUUGGUAUAGCCGGGGAGUAUCAUGACAUCCAUUCUAAUUUGUUGCAAGGUUUUGAAGGACCCUCUAGUGGCUUGUAUUAUACAAUUUGAAAUUCACAAUUGUAAAUCUAUUUAGUAGAUGUUGUUCUCAUCUGUUUGGUUAUAGGUUUAGCGUAUUAGGACAGGUUAAUGCUAACACCGACUGGAACAUGCUCAUUCCCAGGGUGUCAUGAGCCUUGUCUUUUCACGAGAUGGAAGUCGGUUGUUAAGUACAGCAUUUGACAGCACAGCAAGGUUUGAACUCUUAGAGAUGGCUUUUGAAUUGAGCUAUAGUAUCCCCUUAAUCUCAUGCCCUCCACCACCCAAGGAAAAAAAAAAUCAGAAAAGGAUAAGAAGGAUUGUAGAUUCUUGAAAAGGUUCUCAUGAUCCUUACUUUUCUUAUAUUAUACAGAAUUCACGGAUUAAGUCAGGCAAGAUGUUGAAGGAAUUUCAUGGCCAUAUAUCUUAUGUUAACGAUGCCAUCUUUACAAGUGAUGGCUCUCUCGUCAUCUUUGUAUCAAGUGAUUGCACAAUGAAAGUAAGUUAACCUAGCUAUCUAUUAUUAAUUGAGGCCAAAUUUUUCAAGUUUGCUAAUCAUCUACAUGCUGAAUAAAACGAAUGGCAUCUAUAGGUUUAGGAUGU
rnacentral:lncRNA from 1 species